rnacentral:rRNA from 1 species
AUUGAACGCUGGCGGCAGGCCUAACACAUGCAAGUCGAGCGAGCGGCGGACGGGUGAGUAAUGUCUGGGAAACUGCCUGAUGGAGGGGGAUAACUACUGGAAACGGUAGCUAAUACCGCAUACUAUCAGAUGAGCCCAUAUGGGAUUAGCUGGUAGGUGGGGUAACGGCUCACCUAGGCGACGAUCCCUAGCUGGUCUGAGAGGAUGACCAGCCACACUGGAACUGAGACACGGUCCAGACUCCUACGGGAGGCAGCAGUGGGGAAUAUUGCACAAUGGGCGCAAGCCUGAUGCAGCCAUGCCGCGUGUAUGAAGAAGGCCUUAGGGUUGUAAAGUACUUUCAGUGGGGAGGCGUUACCGACAGAAGAAGCACCGGCUAACUCCGUGCCAGCAGCCGCGGUAAUAC